rnacentral:rRNA from 1 species
CCUACGGGGGGCAGCAGUGGGGGAUAUUGCACAAUGGGGGGAACCCUGAUGCAGCGACGCCGCGUGGGUGAAGAAGCGCCCCGGCGCGUAAAGCCCUGUCAGCAGGGAAGAAGAAGGACGGUACCUGACCAAGAAGCCCCGGCUAACUACGUGCCAGCAGCCGCGGUAAUACGUAGGGGGCAAGCGUUAUCCGGAUUUACUGGGUGUAAAGGGAGCGUAGGCGGGAAAGCAAGUUGAAUGUUUAAGGUACGGGCUCAACCUGUACAAGCGUUCAAAACUGUUUUUCUUGAGUGGAGUAGAGGUAA